rnacentral:rRNA from 1 species
AAUGAACGCUAGCGGGAGGCUUAACACAUGCAAGUCGAGGGGCAUCACGAGGUAGCAAUACUUUGGUGGCGACCGGCGCACGGGUGAGUAACGCGUAUGCAACCUACCCUGUACAGGGGGAUAGCCCGGAGAAAUUCGGAUUAAUACCCCAUAAUGAUAUUUUAUGGCAUCAUAAAAUAUUUAAAGCUCAGGCGGUACGGGAUGGGCAUGCGUAACAUUAGCUAGUUGGUAGGGUAAUGGCCUACCAAGGCGACGAUGUUUAGGGGUCCUGAGAUGGUGAACCCCCACACUGGUACUGAGACACGGACCAGACUCCGACGGGAGGCAGCAGUGAGGAAUAUUGGUCAAUGGGCGCGGGCCUGAACCAGCCAUCCCGCGUGAAGGAAGACUGCCCUAUGGGUUGUAAACUUCUUUUCCAGGGGAAUAAAAUCUCGAACGAGUUCGGGACUGAAGGUACCCUGGGAAUAAGCAUCGGCUAACUCCGUGCCAGCAGCCGCGGUAAAAC